AAGUCGUAACAAGGUUUCCGUAGGUGAACCUGCGGAAGGAUCAUUACAGAGAUAUAUAUAUAUAAGAGCUAAGGUAUUUGCUUUCGGGCAAUGCCUACUCUUUUAUCAUAAUCUUCUUUCCCCCCCCUCAUACUUGUGAACAUUGACACGAGUUCAAGUCAAGUGCCCCUAUCUUUGGAUUAGGGGCUCUAGACACUCGUGCUCUUUUUACACCUCUAUACACACUACAAUGUUAUACAAUGAAUGAAUUGGGUUUUAAUACACAAUGAAAGAAUAACUUUCAGCAAUGGAUCUCUUGGCUCUC
rnacentral:misc_RNA from 1 species